CUACGGGCUGCUCCAGUGGGGAAUAUUGCACAAUGGGCGCAAGCCUGAUGCAGCCAUGCCACGUGUAUGAAGAAGGCCUUCGGGUUGUAAAGUACUUUCAGCGGGGAGGAAGGGAGUAAAGUUAAUACCUUUGCUCAUUGACGUUACCCGCAGAAGAAGCACCGGCUAACUCCGUGCCAGCAGCCGCGGUAAUACGGAGGGUGCAAGCGUUAAUCGGAAUUACUGGGCGUAAAGCGCACGCAGGCGGUUUGUUAAGUCAGAUGUGAAAUCCCCGGGCUCAACCUGGGAACUGCAUCUGAUACUGGCAAGCUCGAGUCUCGUAGAGGGGGGUAGAAUUCCAGGUGUAGCGGUGAAAUGCGUAGAGAUCUGGAGGAAUACCGGUGGCGAAGGCGGCCCCCUGGACGAAGACUGACGCUCAGGUGCGAAAGCGUGGGGAGCAAACGGGAUUAGAUACCCGGGUAGUC
rnacentral:rRNA from 1 species